rnacentral:lncRNA from 10 species
GUCGACACCGAGGUCACCUCACAGGUGGCUGGUCUCCUAUGAACAAGCCUUGGGUUCACCUGAAGCCAACCCAGAAGAAGGAUGUGGCGCUUUGCUGAAUCCUCAAGAAGCAAACCUACUCCAGAAAGCAUUAGGGAGCAAGGAAUUUUACUAUUUUGUGGGAAGAAGUGCAUUUUAUCACAUACCACCCAAAAAACUAGGGCAUAAAAAUCCCUGUUAGACUUUUUUUUUCUCUUCCAAGUCUCUCUUAGCUUCUAUUCCCUCUCAGGACCCUCUUUUAGGCAGCUUCUAAAUAUCCCCUGGCUCCCUUCCUUAUGCAGAGCUAUUUGGCCACUACACGCUCUCCUGGGGGCUUUUUAAAGCAUUCAUCCUGCAUGGGCCAUUUUCCACCACAGGGGAGAUUUGCCCCUAAGAAAAGUAGGAUUUCUCUAUCAUUUCAUUUGUUAGUUUCUUUAACACCCGGCCUCAAGUCCAGAGGAACUCAAGGCAGCAAAAAGUGAAAACACCAAGACAGGUGAGAAGGAAAAAGGCCAGGCACCUCCUGGUGCUUUCCAGUCUCAGGACUCAGGUUUAAUGUCUCCUUUUCAACUUCCCCACCUUUAUCCUAAAGAGUUCCCCUUUCCUCUCAAUGUUGUCUUCUCUGUAUGCUUGCUUAAUAUCCAUCUCUCCCAUUAGAUAAUAAUUUCCACCAGGGCAGGUACCAUACUACUCUUAUUCUACUGCAUCCUGAGCACCUAGCAUGAUGUUUAACACAUAAUACAUAACAAAUAAGCCAGACACGGUGGCUCAUGCCUGUAAUCCCAACACUUUGGGAGGUGGAAAUGGGAGGAUCACUUGGGGCCAGGAGUUCAAGACCAGCCUGGGCAAUACAGCAAAACACAGU